AUUGAACGCUGGCGGCAGGCCUAACACAUGCAAGUCGAACGAGUGGCGGACGGGUGAGUAAUGUCUGGGAAACUGACUGAUGGAGGGGGAUAACUACUGGAAAAGGUAGCUAAUACCGCAUACCAUCGGAUGUGCCCAGAUGGGAUUAGCGAGGAGGUGGGGUAAAGGCUAACCUAGGCGACGAUCCCGAGCUGGUCUGAGAGGAUGACCAGCCACACUGGAACUGAGACACGGUCCAGACUCCGACGGUAGGCAGCAGUGGGGAAUAUUGCACAAGGGGCGCAAGCCUGAUGCAGCCAUGCCGCGUGUAUGAAUAAGGCCUGCGGGUUGUAAAGUACUUUCAGCGGGGAGGCGUUACCCGCAGAAGAAGCACCGGCUAACUCCGUGCCAGCCGCCGCGGUAAUUC
rnacentral:rRNA from 1 species